GAUCAUGGAGGUGCUUGAGGGCCACGUGAGGGCUUUACUCUGAGGGAAAUGAGGAGCUGCCGCAGGGAUUUGAGCUCCAAAGUGACAAGAUCCGAACCACCCUUUCCUCGCUAAAGGAUGUAAUUGUAGAAAGUGAUGGUGGAGGAGGCUGCUGCUUGAGGCCACGAGAUUUAAGAAAAAGCAUAAUACUGGUUGCAAACCACUAAAAUGACCUCAUGUCCCACUGACAGGUCACAGUUUGCAGUUUGGAAAACACUACUCCAAGGCAGACAUUAUGGACAUCCCCAGAACAGGGACCCAAAUGCAGUGUCUACACUGGGAACCUCACUGGCAAAGCCACAAGAAGGAUGAGGAGGAAGGAGAGAAACAUCAAAGCACCCGAAGGAAUCACCUAGGGGGAAGUUUCCAGCCACUCCUUUCAGGACUGACGUGGCAUGAAAGGGCCAGGCUGACCAGUAGGACUAACGGACAGCAGGAGAAGCUGAGGUCUCCGGCUGCACCAGGCCGGUUGAGAUAAGAGAGUCUUCGGGGAAACUUCCUUUUAGGCACAAACCAACGGCUGGGCCAGGCACACCACCGGCAUCUGUGGGCAGUUUCUCUGAAGUCAUGGGGCCUGGGGGAGGGUUUUACCAGCAUCAAGCUGAGCUCUCCCCCCCGCCCCCCCCACCCCGCUCAUGUCUCUUCUGCCCUCCUUCCUCCCUGCAGCCCCCAACACGCCUCCCUCCCCCACAGUUUGGGCUUUUAGUAUGGCCGCUAGAGUUGGGCAGUGCCAAGGGUGUGGCUGAAGCAGCCACAGCCAGAAGGAAAGGGGGUGAGCCCACUGGCCUCACCAGGAAGGCAUGCCCUGAUGCUCUCAUAACCUCUGCGGGCACAAACAUCCCCUCUCCCAGGCCCGGGAGCAGAGCUAAGGGCUGGGUCCCAGGCCCUGCUUGUCCCCCGUUACUAAGAGGAAAGGAAAAGCUGUUUCUGUCUUCCCUUGUGGGUUUCUACACGGGCUGUUUCCACAUUCCAUACGGACCAAGGGAAUAAAUCAUCUGAAAUGCUGA